UAAUAAGUGUUUUAUGGCACUUUUUAAAUCCAUAUCCACCUUGUGUGCAAUGUCAGUCGAUCUUCUUUUAUGGAGGAUCGACCAAACAUCAACCAUUAUUUUUAACUCUUUGUCUGAAAAAUAUUAUGAAUAAACAAUUCAAAAUA
rnacentral:misc_RNA from 1 species